UGAUACCAGGGUCAAAAGGUCUGAGCCCACAUGAGCUCGCUCAUAGGUNGGGGAAAGACCUUGGGAACCGNCCCAAUAUGAGCAUAAAAGUGGGAUGAUGAUCCCACGAUAUGCGAAUAUUGGGUCAGAUUGUGGGAGUGCGUAUCACGGAACAAUCCGGUAGUGUCA
rnacentral:sRNA from 10 species